rnacentral:rRNA from 1 species
GAAAGCUGAGGGAGCGAAUGAGAAUAGAUACCUCAGUAGUCCUGGUCGUAAACAAUGGAUAUUAGGCACUAUGCUUAUCAACCCAUGCAGUGUUGUAGCUAACGUGGUAAGUAUCC